CGGCCCUGGCGCACCUUUUCUCCCUCCUGCCACAUUGUGAGCGCUUCGCCUCCCACACAACCGCCGACUCCCGCUCCACCCCCGCCUCCCCUACUCCGCCCACUGCCGAGGGCCCAGAGUUUCUGAAAUGAUGCUGAAAUGAGGGUGAGUACAGAAAUGCAGGAACCAGCCAUCACAACAUGUCUAAACAACUUGGAUGUGAAAACUCAAGUCCCACCAACAGCACCAGGCUGAACAAUAUGCUGCAGUGGAGAGUGGCUGCAGAUGACCAGGAAGUGACCUGGAAGUGAUCAUCUGCUCGAAGCCCUAACUGGCGGCAGGGCUGAGCCUCGGCCUGCAAACAAGUUUUAUAGAUGUUUUCUGAAAAGAAUGAACUCCGGGAGAUGGUGAUGAACAGGGAGGCCUGGCGUGCUGCGAUUCAUGGGGUCGAAAAGAGUCGGACACGACUGAGCGACUGAACUGAACCGAACUGAUACUUCAUACCUUUUCUAUUUUCCCCAUUCCACAGAGAGCAGUGGACAAGCAAGCCGAGUGGAAUAUGUAGUGUCUCGUCUUGGUUAAAUUGUUGGAGGACUUUUCUGCAAAUUAUAGUGGUUAAGCACUGACUCAACAUCCAACAACUGCAUAAGAGCUUAGAGCCUUCAUUCAUGGACAAGUUUCAAAAUGAAACAGCGUCACCACCUCUCAUGGGCGAUGUAGUCAGAGAACAGAAGAGAGUGAAUUUCACCCUUAACAAUGUGGCUGCUUUCUGGAGAAGUGGCAGGAUCUGGUAUUUCCCAGCACGGUGAAAUUGGGAAGUGCCUUUUGCAGUCCUUCUCACUUUCAUGGUUUGUUUGGACUUGGAAUUCUUAAGCUCUUAAUUCCGUCCCCGCUUCCUGUGUCACUUCCCUAGGAGACUGGAUUCAAGGAGGGCGGGACCUCCUCCCCAGGGGAAGGGGGAGGAACAGAAUGGGGACUGAUGCCUUUGGGCUCUUACCGUGUAGACAUCCUGUUGGCACAUUCUCCACUCCUCCCCAGCAAAGCGCACUCUGCUCUGUGAAGAAUCCAGGCCGGAAGUAAAAGAGAUCUGUGCAGCCACAGUGGAAAUGCCCAGACUCUCAGGAACCCCAGAUGGCCAUCCAGUCUAAUCACACGUCACAUUCUGUUUUCAUUAUUAGUGUCUGUCCUGUCUGUUCAUGGGCUCCCCCAGGACAGAAGGCAUGUCUACCCUAGUCACCAUCAGAGCCAUCUUGGUACGUCACAGUGCCUGGUACAGACUGGCUGUUAGUAAAUAUUUGUUGAAUAAAUCAACUAUA